rnacentral:rRNA from 1 species
UACAGAGGGUGCAAGCGUUAAUCGGAAUUACUGGGCGUAAAGCGCGCGUAGGUGGUUUGUUAAGUUGGAUGUGAAAUCCCCGGGCUCCAACCUGGGAACUGGCAUUCAAAACUGACAAGCUAGAGUAUGGUAGAGGGUGGUGGAAUUUCCUGUGUAGCGGUGAAAUGCGUAGAUAUAGGAAGGAACACCAGUGGCGAAGGCGACCACCUGGACUGAUACUGACACUGAGGUGCGAAAGCGUGGGGAGCAAACAGGA